UACGGAGGGUGCGAGCGUUAAUCGGAAUUACUGGGCGUAAAGAGUGCGUAGGUGGUUAAUUAAGUUAUCUGUGAGAUCCCUGGGCUCAACCUGGGCAGGUCAGAUAAGACUGGUUAACUCGAGUAUGGGAGAGGGUAGUGGAAUUUCCGGUGUAGCGGUGAAAUGCGUAGAGAUCGGAAGGAACACCAGUGGCGAAGGCGGCUACCUGGCCUGAUACUGACACUGAGGCACGAAAGUGUGGGGAGCAAACAGG
rnacentral:rRNA from 1 species